GAGCUGCUGGUCUACUGCUGUCUCAUUUGGAGGGGAGGGACGGAGGAUCGGCGAAGCCUGCCGUGCAUGCUUCGUUUCGACGGCAACAGACGCUCAUGUACUGAGAGCAACAUGGAACGCACACCGAGAGUUUUGAGAGAGAAGAGUCUGCUACACGUAGAGGGACGAUGGCACCACGCCGUUGAGGUGCAUCACUCUGGGGUCGCCUUGUGUGCCCUCAACACCCGAUGAGUCAAGAGUUUAAUUGCAGAGGAUUGCAUGUAAACGUCUGUGUCUGCGGGAGGACUACCAUGGUGCAUCUGCCAGAGGAGCAGGGAGAGGCCUACAUCAGUGGAGGAAAUGCUGUAGUCAACAGCCAGCGAUGUGCAUUUC